rnacentral:lncRNA from 1 species
UAAUUGGAGAUUGCCUGCUUGUGUUGCAAAUUUAUGGUUUUGAAUUGAAUGGCUUAUGACAAUAAAUGAGCAUGAAUGGCUAAACUGAUUUUGGUGUUAGAAUUAUUUAUACUGUGUAUUCAACCUUGAGAGGCUAGGUUGCGAUAAAUUGCCAUGUCAUGCUAGAAUGAAUUUUAUUGAUUGGUGGAUUAUAUAUUAAUUAUUUACUGCAGAGGGGGUUCCGUGGACCAGCCUAUUAGAGGGGCACGGUAAACUCCAUUAUAUUAUUACCUUGAACAAAGAGGCGCGUAGGGUAUCUCCUGGGGUAAAGCUUAAGGUUCACUUCACGCCAAACCACCACGUGAAGGGGAACUCAGCCAACGCCAAGGAACGGCUGUAUUUUUCUCAAACUAAAAAUAUAUUUUAAGUGUAUACAAAAUUUUAACAGCCUUGGCGGACUCGAUUGGAUGCCCUGCGCAAGGUAUCACCGAGUAUGAGUUUUGGCACUAGCCAAAGUUUUAAGAAAUUCAUAAGCCAAGUUGAUUACUCGAUUUAUAUGGAUUGAUUUUAUUUGGUUGAAAUGAACUGAAAGGUAAUGAAAUUACAAUAUGAUGAUUUAUUUU